AUUGAACGCUGGCGGAAUGCUUUACACAUGCAAGUCGAACGGCAGCACGGGGGCAACCCUGGUGGCGAGUGGCGAACGGGUGAGUAAUACAUCGGAACGUGCCCGGGCGUGGGGGAUAACGUAACGAAAGUUACGCUAAUACCGCAUACGAUCUGAGGAUGAAAGCGGGGGACCUUCGGGCCUCGCGCGAUCGGAGCUGCCGAUGUCAGAUUAGGUAGUUGGUGUGGUAAAGGCCUACCAAGCCGACGAUCUGUAGCUGGUCUGAGAGGACGACCAGCCACACUGGGACUGAGACACGGCCCAGACUCCUACGGGAGGCAGCAGUGGGGAAUUUUGGACAAUGGGCGCAAGCCUGAUCCAGCCAUUCCGCGUGCAGGACGAAGGCCUUCGGGUUGUAAAAUGCUUUUGUAUGGAACGAAAAGGCUCUGGCUAAUACCUGGGGCUCAUGACGGUACCGUAAGAAUAAGCACCGGCUAACUACGUG
rnacentral:rRNA from 1 species